GUGCUCACUUAGGCAACACAUAUACUAAAACUGGAAUGGUAUAGAGAAGAUUAGCAUGGCCCUUGAGCAAGGAUGACAUGCGGAUCUGUGAAGUGUUCUACAAAAAG